CGGCAACAGCUCAAAUUUGAAAUCUGGCUCCUUUGGGGGUCCGAAUUGUAAUUUGCAGAGGGUGCUUUGGCGUUGGCGGCGGUCUAAGUUCCUUGGAACAGGACAUCACAGAGGGUGAGAAUCCCGUACGUGGUCGCCUUCCUUCGCCGUGUAAAGCCCCUUC
rnacentral:rRNA from 1 species